GGAGCCUCAGAUGUCAGCCUGCUUGCUGGCCAGUUUGUCUUCAUGUUCCCGAGGGUGGGACUGCUUUUAUGUUUGGCAUCUACUGUAUUCUCAGACCCACAUGAAAGGUUCAUGCUGAGUGAUGUGCUUUCCAGCCCCUAAAGAGUUAGGCUCUGUAGGUGGUUUCCACUUCCUUGGGUUCAACACGGGUGGUAGUUGGGUUUUUUGGUUUGUUUUUUGUCUACACCCAUAGGUCCCAUGGGUUAGGGAACUCAAGGUAAGAAAACUCCCUCUGGUAAUGCAAAUCAGCACCUGUUCUGCAGUUCAUAGUGUUAGAGAGAGAGCUUGUGACCUGUUAGCUGAUCUUUUUGUUUGCCUUUUUGGUUAUAAUUUCACUGAUUUGAUUUUUGAAUUGCUACUUAAACAGUCACUAACAGAGCUGAGGGAAGAUGACUGUGCAAGAAACUAUGAACUUCUGCCACUUGCAGUUUCAGAAGGACUGUGCAAAUCAAUAAAGUGUUUGUGGAUUCUCAUCUGGAACCCAACCCAAGUCUUUGAACCUUCACCACAAGGAAUUUUUCUAGUUGUGAUUCAAAGUGUCUUGGUGGGCAUUCAAACAGGUAGGUCUCUUCACUUUCAAGUGCCUUUCUUUAGUUCCUCUAAUUAGGUCAGCACACACUUUCUCCAGUGAUUUCACAUUGUCGCUGGUGAUGGUGAUUCAGAUCUGGUCAGUGGCCACUUUGGUCUCCGCAAGUGUCUUGCCCAUGUCUGAGAAUGCCAUGGCAGUGGAAUGGCUUCCUGACUGACUUAUUCCUCUGUGAGACUGAACAGCAGUGAGUUAGGAGGAGGAGAGUCAAGGACUACCGAUUCCACGUGCCUGCAGUGGUGGUACCUUCACCAAAGAGCUAUAAAUAUUUUGAUGUAUAUGGGGUCUAUCUUCUUCUAGGUACAAGUCUAGUAACGGAAUCUCUGGGUCAAAAGGAUAUGCAUAUUUUAGUUACAUUAUUUACAUACUUCAAAAUUGCUUUCCAAUUUCAUAGCUCCCCUAACAAUACGUCAGUGUACCUAUAGUUCCACAACCCCACCAACAUUGAAUAUUACCAUUUUGGGGCAUCUUUACCAAUUUACAGAGUGUGAUAUGAAACCUAAG
rnacentral:lncRNA from 1 species